UCUCCGUUGGUGAUCCAGCGGAGGGAUCAUUACCGAAGUUACCCUUCAAAACCCAUUGUGAACCAUACCUCUUGCCGCGUUGUCUCGGCGGGAGGCGCUGGGGCCUCGGCUCCGCGUCCCCGCCGGCAGCGCCAAACUCUAAACUGCAAAGCGUACUGCAUGUUCUGAUUUACAAAAAAAACAAGUUAAAACUUUCAACAACGGAUCUCUUGGUUCUG
rnacentral:misc_RNA from 1 species